ACAUCGGCGUGGCCUACACUUGUUUGAGGGAGCUAAAUGAGGCUACAAAAUAACGGACUGACGGUGACCUGGCUGUGUUGCUACUGGACUUCUUAUGUCUUCGCAGUCAAACCAAAAAGGAAGAAGUUGCUACGGAAACUGUUAAAGCAGCAUAUUCCACAAGAGACAUCCGUCAGUGUACAUUUCAGCGCUCGAGAUAUAAAGACGUCCAGGUCAAACAAACGUUCCUUUUGCUUGACAGCGAGACACUCCGCUGAGUCGGCGUUCACUGA